rnacentral:rRNA from 1 species
UACGGAGGGUGCGAGCGUUGUCCGAAUCCUUGGGGGUAAAGGGCGCGUUGGUGGCCCGGUCAGGCUUUGGGGAAAGCGCGGGGCUCAACCCUGCGUCGGCCAGGGAUACUGCCGCGGCUCGAGCACUGUAGAGGCAGGCGGAAUUCCGGGUGUAGCGGUGGAAUGCGUAGAGAUCCGGAAGAACACCGGUGGCGAAGGCGGCCUGCUGGGACAACACUGACGCUGAAGCACGAAAGCGUGGGGAGCAAACAGG